CGAGUAGCUGGGAUUACAGGCAUGCGAGGUGCCUUUGGAAAGCCCCAGGGCACUGUGGCCAGGGUUCACAUUGGCCAAGUUAUCAUGUCCAUCUGUACCAAGCUGCAGAACAAGGAGCAUGUGAUAGAAGCCCUGCACAGGGCCAAGUUCAAGUUUCCUGGCCGCCAGAAGAUCCACAUCUCAAAGAAGUGGGGCUUCAUCAAGUUCAAUG
rnacentral:lncRNA from 1 species